GAUGAAGAACGCAGUGAAAUGCGAAAAGUAAUGUGAAUUGCAGAAUUCAGUGAAUCAUCGAAUCUUUGAACGCACAUUGCGCCCGCCAGUAUUCUGGCGGGCAUGCCUGUCUGAGCGUCAUUUCAACCCUCAUGCCCCUAGGGCGUGGUGUUGGGGAUCGGCCAGCGCCCGCGAGGGACGGCCGGCCCCUAAAUCUAGUGGCGGACCCGUCGUGGCCUCCCCUGCGAAGUAGUGAUAUUCCGCAUAGGAGAGCGACGAGCCCCUGCCGUUAAACCCCCAACUUUCUAAGGUUGACCUCAGAUCAGGUAGGAAUACCCGCUGAACUUAAGCAUAUCAAUAAGCGGAGGA
rnacentral:misc_RNA from 1 species